AAUGAAUUGACGGGGGCCCGCACAAGCGGUGGAGCAUGUGGUUUAAUUCGAUGCAACGCGAAGAACCUUACCUACUCUUGACAUCCAGAGAAUCUAGCGGAGACGCUGGAGUGCCUUCGGGAGCUCUGAGACAGGUGCUGCAUGGCUGUCGUCAGCUCGUGUUGUGAAAUGUUGGGUUAAGUCCCGCAACGAGCGCAACCCU
rnacentral:rRNA from 1 species